rnacentral:rRNA from 1 species
GAUGAACGCUGGCGGCGUGCCUAAUACAUGCAAGUCGAGCGAACAGACAAGGAGCUUGCUCCUUUGACGUUAGCGGCGGACGGGUGAGUAACACGUGGGUAACCUACCUAUAAGACUGGGAUAACUUCGGGAAACCGGAGCUAAUACCGGAUAAUAUUUCGAACCGCAUGGUUCGAUAGUGAAAGAUGGUUUUGCUAUCACUUAUAGAUGGACCCGCGCCGUAUUAGCUAGUUGGUAAGGUAACGGCUUACCAAGGCGACGAUACGUAGCCGACCUGAGAGGGUGAUUGGCCACACUGGAACUGAGACACGGUCCAGACUCCUACGGGAGGCAGCAGUAGGGAAUCUUCCGCAAUGGGCGAAAGCCUGACGGAGCAACGCCGCGUGAGUGAUGAAGGUCUUCGGAUCGUAAAACUCUGUUAUUAGGGAAGAACAUACGUGUAAGUAACUAUGCACGUCUUGACGGUACCUAAUCAGAAAGCCACGGCUAACUACGUGCCAGCAGCCGCGGUAAUACGUAGGUGGCAAGCGUUAUCCGGAAUUAUUGGGCGUAAAGCGCGCGUAGGCGGUUUUUUAAGUCUGAUGUGAAAGCCCACGGCUCAACCGUGGAGGGUCAUUGGAAACUGGAAAACUUGAGUGCAGAAGAGGAAAGUGGAAUUCCAUGUGUAGCGGUGAAAUGCGCAGAGAUAUGGAGGAACACCAGUGGCGAAGGCGACUUUCUGGUCUGUAACUGACGCUGAUGUGCGAAAGCGUGGGGAUCAAACAGGAUUAGAUACCCUGGUAGUCCACGCCGUAAACGAUGAGUGCUAAGUGUUAGGGGGGUUUCCGCCCCUUAGUGCUGCAGCUAACGCAUUAAGCACUCCGCCUGGGGAGUACGACCGCAAGGUUGAAACUCAAAGGAAUUGACGGGGACCCGCACAAGCGGUGGAGCAUGUGGUUUAAUUCGAAGCAACGCGAAGAACCUUACCAAAUCUUGACAUCCUUUGACAACUCUAGAGAUAGAGCUUUCCCCUUCGGGGGACAAAGUGACAGGUGGUGCAUGGUUGUCGUCAGCUCGUGUCGUGAGAUGUUGGGUUAAGUCCCGCAACGAGCGCAACCCUUGAGCUUAGUUGCCAUCAUUAAGUUGGGCACUCUAAGUUGACUGCCGGUGACAAACCGGAGGAAGGUGGGGAUGACGUCAAAUCAUCAUGCCCCUUAUGAUUUGGGCUACACACGUGCUACAAUGGACAAUACAAAGGGCAGCGAAACCGCGAGGUCAAGCAAAUCCCAUAAAGUUGUUCUCAGUUCGGAUUGUAGUCUGCAACUCGACUACAUGAAGCUGGAGUCGCUAGUAAUCGUAGAUCAGCAUGCUACGGUGAAUAAGUUCCCGGGUCU